rnacentral:pre_miRNA from 15 species
UCAAAAUAAAACGAUGAAAACUAUCGAAAUACUAUCGACGAAUAACACUUAUGAAGAAAUGUAAUACGUCGUUGGUGUUUCCAUAGUUUGAAUUGUUUAUUCCAUUAUUUUUGAGC